rnacentral:rRNA from 1 species
CAUGUGUGUUAGUGGAAGCGUCUGGAAAGGCGCGCGAUACAGGGUGACAGCCCCGUACACAAAAGCGCAUGUGCUGUGAGCUCGAUGAGUAGGGCGGGACACGUGGUAUCCUGUCUGAAUAUGGGGGGACCAUCCUCCAAGGCUAAAUACUCCUGACUGACCGAUAGUGAACCAGUACCGUGAGGGAAAGGCGAAAAGAACCCCGGCGAGGGGAGUGAAAAAGAACCUGAAACCGUGUACGUACAAGCAGUGGGAGCACCCUUUGGGGUGUGACUGCGUACCUUUUGUAUAAUGGGUCAGCGACUUAUAUUCUGUAGCAAGGUUAACCGUAUAGGGGAGCCGCAGGGAAACCGAGUCUUAACCGGGCGUUAAGUUGCAGGGUAUAGACCCGAAACCCGGUGAUCUAGCCAUGGGCAGGUUGAAGGUUGGGUAACACUAACUGGAGGACCGAACCGACUAAUGUUGAAAAAUUAGCGGAUGACCUGUGGCUGGGGGUGAAAGGCCAAUCAAACCGGGAGAUAGCUGGUUCUCCCCGAAAGCUAUUUAGGUAGCGCCUCGUGAAUUCAUCUCCGGGGGUAGAGCACUGUUUCGGCUAGGGGGCCAUCCCGGCUUACCAACCCGAUGCAAACUGCGAAUACCGGAGAAUGUUAUCACGGGAGACACACGGCGGGUGCUAACGUCCGUCGUGAAGAGGGAAACAACCCAGACCGCCAGCUAAGGUCCCAAAGUCAUGGUUAAGUGGGAAACGAUGUGGGAAGGCCCAGACAGCCAGGAUGUUGGCUUAGAAGCAGCCAUCAUUUAAAGAAAGCGUAAUAGCUCACUGGUCGAGUCGGCCUGCGCGGAAGAUGUAACGGGGCUAAACCAU